CACGUAAGGUGCAAGCGUUGUUCGGAAUUAUUGGGCGUAAAGGGCAUGUAGGCGGUCUGGCAAGCUUGGAGUGAAAUCCCGGGGCUCAACUCCGGAACUGCUUUGGGAACUGUCAGACUGGAAUCGCUGAAGGGGAGCCGGAAUUCCAGGUGUAGGGGUGAAAUCUGUAGAUAUCUGGAAGAACACCAAUGGCGAAGGCAGGCUUCUGGCAGACGAUUGACGCUGAGGUGCGAAGGUGCGGGGAGCAAAC
rnacentral:rRNA from 1 species